UACACAUGGAUGUACAGACAACAAAUAUAGGGUUAGGUCUGUGAGCAGCCGCUUCUACUUUCUAUUUGUUUUUGCAUUUCAAAUUUCUUUCUCCCUCGUAGGAAAUUGUGAUCUGCAUCCAUUUGUGUUUUUCUCCAUCGAUGACCGAAGAAUAUGUUGAAUCGAUGCGAUGAUGAGGAUGAUAGAGGAAAUCAUCGAUUGCGUGAUAGUUUCAUUUCCAUCUCGCAAGAUGAAUUCAUCUGUUUUUGUGGUGUACAACUUGUGAACGAAGGACCUAUGGAUGGAGCGCUGUAAUAGGUGCGGUCACAUCCAAGUUUGCCUUCGGAAAGCGAUGUCGAAAUCGGAUAAUCCGGAUCCGAUUUGUUUCGGAGUCGGUUUAAAUUUACAGAUCUGGUUUUCGAACACUUCCUUUUUUGUUUUAAAUGAGAAAUGGAUAUCGUUCUCUGAGAGCGAAGUUCCCAGCAGAGGGGUGAAAAUGCUCUGGAAUUGAGGCCCCUCUAACAAUAAUCCAAAACUACUUCGCAGAGUAAUCUGCCGAAUCGUAGGAUGCCCAUUACUAUCUAUUUUUGGAGCAUCUGGAACCCUCGGCUAAAUUUAUUUUGAUUAGAAAAUAAAUUGUGUUAAAAUUUUAUGAAAUUUUUAGGGAAAUUCAAAUAAUAUAUUAGUCUUUGAAAAGUCUAAACAUCCUAUAA